rfam:Ketogulonicigenium vulgare Y25, complete genome.
GGGUCGGUAGCUCAGGUGGUUAGAGCGCACGCCUGAUAAGCGUGAGGUCGGAGGUUCGAGUCCUCCUCGACCCA